CAAUAGCGUAUAUUAAAGUUGUUGCGGUAAAAAAGCUCGUAGUUGGAUUUCUACCGAAGAUAGCCGGUCGGGUCUUCGACCUUGUAUCUGGUUUUGUCUUUGGUAUCCUCAUAGGGAACGUUUCUGCGCUUUAUUGCGUGGUGCGGUAUCUAUGACUUUUACUUUGAGGAAAUUAGAGUGUUCACGGCAGGCAAACGCCUUGAAUAUAUUAGCAUGGAAUAAUAACAUAGGAUCUUCGUCCUAUUUUGUUGGUUUCUAGGGCUAAGAUAAUGAUUAAUAGGGAUAAUUGGGGGCAUCUGUAUCAACGCGUCAGAGUUGGAAUUCUUGGAUUGCGUUGCGACAAACUACUGCGAAAGCAUUUGCCAAGGAUGUUUUCAUUGA
rnacentral:rRNA from 1 species